rnacentral:tRNA from 1 species
AAGGCCUUAGCUUAAUUAAAGUGUUUGAGUUGCAUUCAGAAGAUAUGGGAUAGGGUCCUGUAGGUCUUA